AUGUCCCAAAGAAACAUCACAAUGUUUCGUUUCCCCACACCCAACACAGUUCAUAAUACGCCAUGUAGUGUCUCUUCCACACAGACUGACUCAAACAGUGAUUCAAAAAUCCAAACUGUCCCAGAUAACACAACCUCUGAGGUAGAACCUGCAUCUUGUCCAUCUCACACUGCACCACCUCCAUCAUUCACAUGUCCCAAAGAAACAUCACAAUGUUGCCCACCGCAGGCUGCUGCGGAGAACAUCAAUUUGACCCCCACUGUACCAGAGCCUUUGUGCACUACCACAGCACAAGUCAUAUCCACUGUCACCACACCCUCAACACAUGGGCAAUCAUGCAUGUCUCCUAUUGAGUCUACAGGGCGUUGUUGCACACCUGGUAUUCAGAAUAUGGCAAAUUGUAAGACUCAAUGCAUUCCAGAUUCACAUACAGAUCCCACAACUCCUGCUCAAUCCACGCCUUGUUUCCAGACGUUGGAGGAAACCAUUCCAUGCUCCAACACAGCUGGCUCCAAGGCAGCGUCCUGUUCUCAAGGAGCACCUGCAAUUGCCUCUACGUUCAGUUCCACACAGCCAUGCCAGAAGACUCCAACACAACCCAUGGCAUGUGGUAACACCUCAAAUCAACCUGUGUACUCUGUGAUAUCUCCAACACAACCUGUAACUCCAAUUCAGUCUGUGUCAAGAUGUAUGAGUCCUAAACAAAAUGAGCCAUUGGGUAGGACCCCUACCAUUUCUGUACAGACGCCUAUAUCAGCCACACACACGCCAGCACCUGUUCAGCCUUCAUCAUCUUGUAAAAUUCCAGUGCAGUCUAUACCAUACUGUGUCACAGACAAACCAGCAACCUUUGGCUCUCCCACUCAACCGAUGGCAUCUCAUAAGAUUCCUACACAAACCCUCCCUCACAAUUUGAUGUCAAUUUCUCCCGAGCCAUUUUGUGCCACUACUCCACACCCUGCUUCACACUUUAAGGGCCCCGUUGCAGUUGUGGCACACGCCAUUCCUGCUGCACAAACUGUGGUACACUGCAUUUUGGAUCAACAGAAUGUGGCAACCCAUGUGACUCCUUCCAUGCCAGUUCUGAUUUGUAGCCCUUCCACACAACCUGCGCCAGGUAAACUUUCUGUCCAAGCAUUGCCACACUGCAACGCUAAUAUGAAAAAUGCAGUGUCUUGCAGUAAUCCCUCUCAAAUUGUGCCACACUUUAAGACUCCUACUCAAACAGUAUCACACUCCAAAUCAUUUCCACAAAACAUGUCACCUGUUCUCUGUCCACGCGAGGCAAUGAUGUACGCUAGUAAACCCCAGGAAAUUGUGCUUCCCUCUGCUAAUUUCAGGCAUUCUUUACCUCCUUACGCUUGCCCUCCACUGACUACUCUGCUGUACUCUAACGCUGGGGUGAGCCCCUCCCCUCCUCAGGCCUUCUGCUGCACUCAGGACAGACGAGACAGGAGAGAGUUCAUGCUUCCUCCUCCACCACCUCCUCCUCCUCCGUACACCCCCCGGAAAGAGGGCUCCUCUACUCCUGGAAAGCCCCGUAAGCCUCCUGUCCCCAAAGCUGUGAGCAGCAAUGCUGAAAAGGACAGAGUGAAAACUGGGGUAGUGAAGCCAAAUGCUGAAGCAGGAACUCACCAUCAGGUGGGUGAAACCCCACCUCCUAUCCCUCCCAAAACUAAGGCAAGAGCUACGGUGAGGCCCACCUGUUUAAGCAGCCGAAGGGCGAUCCUCGGCCCAGAAUCCCAGGCCAGUGCAAACCACUUGCCUCCUGCUGGGGGGACAAACCCCCAGGCGGAGGGCCAAGCGGACACUCUGCGGCAGGUGCAGGAGCUACUAGGGGGGCUUAUGUCUGGGGCUAAGUGUAAGCUGGACCUGGCAAAGGCGAAAGAGAAACUGUUUGGCCCAAACGGCCCUCUGUACGACAUUGGGGCUCUGCAGUCUCAGCUGCACAGCCUGGAAGGGGUGUUGGAGACCAGCCAGAACACCAUCAAGGUUUUACUGGACGUCAUUCAGGAUCUGGAGAAGAAGGAGGCAGAGCGAGACGGGUGA
rnacentral:lncRNA from 1 species